AUUGAACGCUGGCGGCAUGCUUUACACAUGCCAGUCGAACGGCAGCGCGGGCUUCGGCCUGGCGGCGAGUGGCGAACGGGUGAGUAAUGCAUCGGAACGUGCCCAGUAGUGGGGGAUAGCCCGGCGAAAGCCGGAUUAAUACCGCAUACGACCUGAGGGUGAAAGCGGGGGACCGAAAGGCCUCGCGCUAUUGGAGCGGCCGAUGUCGGAUUAGCUAGUUGGUGGGGUAAAGGCUUACCAAGGCGACGAUCCGUAGCUGGUCUGAGAGGACGACCAGCCACACUGGGACUGAGACACGGCCCAGACUCCUACGGGAGGCAGCAGUGGGGAAUUUUGGACAAUGGGGGCAACCCUGAUCCAGCCAUGCCGCGUGCGGGAAGAAGGCCUUCGGGUUGUAAACCGCUUAUGUUCGGGAAGAAAUCCUCUGGGCUAAUACCCCGGGGGGAUGACGGUACCGGAAGAAUAAGCACCGGCUAACUACGUG
rnacentral:rRNA from 1 species